AUUGAACGCUGGCGGCAUGCUUUACACAUGCAAGUCGAACGGUAACAGGCCGCAAGGUGCUGACGAGUGGCGAACGGGUGAGUAAUGCAUCGGAACGUGCCCAGUCGUGGGGGAUAACUACUCGAAAGAGUAGCUAAUACCGCAUACGAUCUAUGGAUGAAAGCGGGGGACCGUAAGGCCUCGCGCGAUUGGAGCGGCCGAUGUCAGAUUAGGUAGUUGGUGGGGUAAAGGCUCACCAAGCCAACGAUCUGUAGCUGGUCUGAGAGGACGACCAGCCACACUGGGACUGAGACACGGCCCAGACUCCUACGGGAGGCAGCAGUGGGGAAUUUUGGACAAUGGGCGCAAGCCUGAUCCAGCAAUGCCGCGUGCAGGAAGAAGGCCUUCGGGUUGUAAACUGCUUUUGUACGGAACGAAACGGCUCUGGUUAAUACCCGUGGCUAAUGACGGUACCGGAAGAAUAAGCACCGGCUAACUACGUG
rnacentral:rRNA from 1 species